UGGGCAGGACACUCCAUCCUGCAGAAGGGAC
rnacentral:piRNA from 2 species